rnacentral:rRNA from 1 species
AGGGAAAGGCGAAAAGAACCCCGGCGAGGGGAGUGAAAAAGAACCUGAAACCGUGUACGUACAAGCAGUGGGAGCCCCACCACCAAAGCGUUUCGCUUUGUGUGGUGCACAAAGAAGCGUAACGACAGCACUGAAUGACGGUUAACGGAGCGCAAGCGACGUUCAACAUACAAAGUCAAGCAGUGGAGCGCUUUGGGGUGGGGUGACUGCGUACCUUUUGUAUAAUGGGUCAGCGACUUAUAUUCUGUAGCAAGGUUAACCGAAUAGGGGAGCCGGAGGGAAACCGAGUCUUAACCGGGCGUUAAGUUGCAGGGUAUAGACCCGAAACCCGGUGAUCUAGCCAUGGGCAGGUUGAAGGUUGGGUAACACUAACUGGAGGACCGAACCGACUAAUGUUGAAAAAUUAGCGGAUGACCUGUGGCUGGGGGUGAAAGGCCAAUCAAACCGGGAGAUAGCUGGUUCUCCCCGAAAGCUAUUUAGGUAGCGCCUCGUGAAUUCAUCUCCGGGGGUAGAGCACUGUUUCGGCUAGGGGGCCAUCCCGGCUUACCAACCCGAUGCAAACUGCGAAUACCGGAGAAUGUUAUCACGGGAGACACACGGCGGGUGCUAACGUCCGUCGUGAAGAGGGAAACAACCCAGACCGCCAGCUAAGGUCCCAAAGUCAUGGUUAAGUGGGAAACGAUGUGGGAAGGCCCAGACAGCCAGGAUGUUGGCUUAGAAGCAGCCAUCAUUUAAAGAAAGCGUAAUAGCUCACUGGUCGAGUCGGCCUGCGCGGAAGAUGUAACGGGGCUAAACCAUGCACCGAAGCUGCGGCAGCGACGCUUAUGCGUUGUUGGGUA